CCUACGGGCGGCAGCAGUGAGGAAUAUUGGUCAAUGGACGAGAGUCUGAACCAGCCAAGUAGCGUGAAGGAUGACUGCCCUAUGGGUUGUAAACUUCUUUUAUAUGGGAAUAAAACGUUCCAUGUGUGGGAUUUUGUAUGUACCAUAUGAAUAAGGAUCGGCUAACUCCGUGCCAGCAGCCGCGGUAAUACGGAGGAUCCGAGCGUUAUCCGGAUUUAUUGGGUUUAAAGGGAGCGUAGGUGGAUUGUUAAGUCAGUUGUGAAAGUUUGCGGCUCAACCGUAAAAUUGCAGUUGAAACUGGCAGUCUUGAGUACAGUAGAGGUGGGCGGAAUUCGUGGUGUAGCGGUGAAAUGCUUAGAUAUCACGAAGAACUCCGAUUGCGAAGGCAGUUCACUGGACUGCAACUGACACUGAGGCUCGAAAGUGUGGGUAUCAAACAGGAUUAGAUACCCUAGUAGUC
rnacentral:rRNA from 1 species